CCUACGGGUGGCUGCAGUCGAGAAUCAUUCACAAUGGGGGAAACCCUGAUGGUGCGACGCCGCGUGGGGGAAUGAAGGUCUUCGGAUUGUAAACUCCUGUCAUGUGGGAGCAAAUUAAAAAGAUAGUACCACAAGAGGAAGAGACGGCUAACUCUGUGCCAGCAGCCGCGGUAAUACAGAGGUCUCAAGCGUUGUUCGGAUUCACUGGGCGUAAAGCGUGCGUAGGCGGUUUCGUAAGUCGUAAGUGAAAGGCGGGGGCUCAACCGGCGGACGGCACAUGAUAUUGCGAGACUAGAGUACUGGAGGGGCAACCGGAAUUCUCGGUGUAGCAGUGAAAUGCGUAGAUAUUGAGAGGAACACUCGUGGCGAAGGCGGGUUCCUGGACAUUAACUGACGCUGAGGCACGAAGGCCAGGGGAGCGAACAGGAUUAGAUACCCGUGUAGUC
rnacentral:rRNA from 1 species